rnacentral:rRNA from 1 species
UACGGGAGGCAGCAGUGGGGAAUUUUCCGCAAUGGGCGAAAGCCUGACGGAGCAAUACCGCGUGAGGGAUGACGGCCUAUGGGUUGUAAACCUCUUUUUUCAGGGAGGAAUAAAUGACGUGUACCUGAAGAAUAAGCAUCGGCUAACUCCGUGCCAGCAGCCGCGGUAAGACGGAGGAUGCAAGUGUUAUCCGGAAUCACUGGGCGUAAAGCGUCUGUAGGUGGUUUGAUAAGUCAACUGUUAAAUCUUGAGGCUCAACCUCAAAAUCGCGGUCGAAACUAUUAGACUAGAGUAUAGUAGGGGUAAAGGGAAUUUCCAGUGGAGCGGUGAAAUGCGUAGAUAUUGGAAGGAACACCGAUGGCGAAGGCACUUUACUGGGCUAUUACUAACACUCAGAGACGAAAGCUAGGGUAGCAAAUGGGAUUAGAUACCCCAGUAGUCUUAGCUGUAAACAAUGGAUACUAGAUGUUGAACAGAUCGGCCUGUGCAGUAUCAAAGCUAACGCGUUAAGUAUCCCGCCUGGGAAGUAUGCUCGCAAGAGUGAAACUCAAAGGAAUUGACGG